UCGAGGGGCAGCAUCAUCGCUUGCGAUGGAUGGCGACCGGCGCACGGGUGCGUAACGCGUAUGCAACCUACCCUUUACAGGGGGAUAGCCCGGAGAAAUCCGGAUUAAUACCCCAUGGUACCAUAAAGCAGCAUUGUUUAAUGGUUAAAGAUUUAUUGGUAAAGGAUGGGCAUGCGUCUGAUUAGUUAGUUGGUGAGGUAACGGCUCACCAAGGCGACGAUCAGUAGGGGUUCUGAGAGGAUGAUCCCCCACACUGGCACUGAGAUACGGGCCAGACUCCUACGGGAGGCAGCAGUAGGGAAUAUUGGUCAAUGGGCGAGAGCCUGAACCAGCCAUGCCGCGUGCAGGAAGACGGCCUUCUGGGUUGUAAACUGCUUUUAUCAGGGAACAAAUAGUCCAUGCGUGGAAAGUUGCGUGUACCUGAAGAAUAAGCACCGGCUAACUCCGUGCCAGCAGCCGCGGUAAUACGGAGGGUGCAAGCGUUGUCCGGAUUUAUUGGGUUUAAAGGGUGCGUAGGCGGGACAUUAAGUCAGUGGUGAAAUACUUCGGCUCAACCGGAGAGGUGCCAUUGAAACUGGUGUUCUAGAGUACAGACGAGGUAGGCGGAAUUUAUGGUGUAGCGGUGAAAUGCAUAGAUACCAUAAAGAACACCGAUAGCGAAGGCAGCUUACUAGACUGUAACUGACGCUGAGGCACGAAAGCGUGGGUAGCGAACAGGAUUAGAUACCCUGGUAGUCCACGCCGUA
rnacentral:rRNA from 1 species